CCAACCGAGAGAGACAUAUUUCUCCAUUGCCUCCAUUUUUGACCAAGUAGCAUGCAAGUUGACUAAGCCAAAUUUACUUCCUCUUGUUUCUUUUCUUUAGCUCAACCACCGAGAGAAAGAAAAACAAAGACAAACAAGACUGCUCACUUAUUUUGUCCCACUUUAGCCGAGAAAGAGUAGAGAGAGUUGAGAGGAAAAGGUUGUGUCUUGCACCCACCUUCCAGCCGAGAGAAAAUUUGGGGAAACAAAGAAAUUUCCCUUGUUUUGUUUCCACUUCAGCCAAGAGGAACCAGCGAGAGAAAACUGAAAGGAAGCUUGAGUCUUGUUUCCAUUUCCAGCUUGUUUGAUCGAGUAGAAGGACCAAAACAGGGGAGUUAACUUCUAGCUUGUUUUAAAGAUUUAGACUCCAACCAAGGAGUUGGACCUGAACGUGACUUUUGAGAGGCACUAGACCCUUGGGGGUACGAGUGAGGCGUGAGACAUGUACCGACUAGUGUAGUCUAGUUGUUUUGAAUUUUGAAUUUGUACUUGUGCUAGUACCCGACCAGGGUUGAUUGUACUCGAAUUGUAAACACUUUGAAAUAUUUUGGUAUGUAGAAGCUUUGUAUCUGGAUUU